rnacentral:lncRNA from 10 species
AGAGCGGAGGAAUGAAGGAGAGCAGAGAGGAGAGGCUUGGAGAAAAAUGAGAAGUCUCUCCAGCCCCAAUGACGGCAAGCACCCUGGAGCUGAGGGGGCUGAGUGGCGGCUGUGCCCUUUGGACAGGCAGCAGCUCCCAGUUUUCUCACCUAGGGGUAGCUGGUGGCCAAGAGGAAAGAGGAGUUGUCGGACAGGGCUUUGCUCUGUCUCCCAGGCUGGAGUGCAGGGGUGCCAUCAUAGCUCACUGCAGCUUUGACCUCCUGGACUAAGCUAUCCUCCUGCCUCGGCCUCCUGAGUGGGAAGGACUACAGGCCCCCAAAGGCUCUGCGCAGACCAGCACUGUCUCCUCCUUCAUCCACAGAGAGGAUGAAAGAACAUGGCAAGAGGAAGACUCACAGAACCCCACAGAGAAGCUUUGAGAAUUGGGCUGUCUGGCUCUCCCAUCACCCAUUUGGCCACCAGCUUUGGUCCCAGCUGCUGUGCCCUCGGGGGAUGCAUUAUGGCCCUGAAAGGGGCCCUUGUCCCUUUUUGGGGUGUCAUCCUGGCUGG